CCAUCUCUACUGCGCGGUGCGAAACAAAGUCGUAUAAAAUGUAAGUACUAAUUUAAUUCAUAUUACCAAUUUAGUGUUCGUUGCUGGUGGUGUUGGUGUUGGUUGUUAAGUGGAGGACAUGGACAGAUAUCUAAAAAUUUGUUCUUUUUAGGAGCAGCAGAUGAAAAUGUGGAGGACCCAAAAAAAAAAGAAACGCGAUGUUUCGGUGGCAUGGGACCACUUUAAGAAAACUGUUGAAAAAACGCAUGGAAUAUGCAACUUCUGCGGUAAAGCUAUAAAAACAGCAGGAAACACAACAAACCUUCUUGACCAUCUGAAGCAUGUUCAUCCUGAUCGCCUUAAAGACGGAAAAAGCCAGCAGACCAAUACAAUGGAUGUUUAUGUCGGAAGCCUCCGUUUUUUUACAACAACGAUUCCACUCGGAAACGUUGUCUGGAUAUGAAGGUGAUGCGUAUGAUAGCUGUCGAUGUCCAACCCUUCAGUUGUGUUGAGGAUGAAGGAUUUAAAGAGCUGAUGAAGGCAAUGGACCCACGCUACAAGUUGCCCAGCAGAUCACAUUUGCGCGAUGUAGUGCUUCCAAGCCAGUAUGAGGAGUUAAAAAACAAACUGUAUGUAAUAUUGGCCAAUGUGGAUUUUCUGGCAUUAACCACUGAUAUGUGGACAUCAAGGGCCAAUGAAGGCUAUAUAACUAUAACAUGCCAUUUUGUGUCGAAUAACUUUAAAUUAGAGUCUGAAAUAUUAGCAAAAAGGCAGCUGCUCGAUUCCACCAAUCACACCGCAUCAAAUAUUGCUAAAACCAUGAAGGCGGUGCUCCAAGAUUGGGGGGUGACAAAUAAGGUGGUAUGUAUAGUAACCGACAAUGAUGCUACCAUGGUAAAGGCAUGUCGAUUGCUUCAAUAUAAGCACUUACCAUGUGUAGCACACACAAUCAAGAUGCCGUGUAUUGAUGAUAUACUUACAAAAUGUAAGAGAAUAGUGGCAUUCUUCAAAAGAAGCCAGGUUGCCUAUGCUAAAUUUUAGGAAGCACAGGGAGAAAAUCCCUGUACUCUGCUGCAUGAAAUGCCAACUCGCUGGAACAGCGCCUUUGCUAUGAUCAAGCGAAUCUUAAGGACCAACGAGUUUGUGUCUCUGGCUUUAAUGUCUUGCCAUAAUGCUCCUUCGCCAUUUUCUGCAGCAGAAGUUGAUAUUCUCAAAGAUAUAGCCGCUUUGUUGUCUCCCUUUGAAGACGCUACCCUUUUUGUGUCUUCCAAUAGCAAGGUGUCAGUGUCCCUUAUAAUACCUGUAAUAUGCAAACUGCAGCACAAAAUCAAGGAAAUUAAUUUGGAAACAGCAGAGGGAAAACUUGUCUUUGAGUUCAUUAAGACUAGACUCGGGGAAAGACUGGCAGCGUAUGAAACACGCACUAUACCCAGAAUUUCCACCAUUAUAGAUCCCCGUUUCAAAAAACAGGGAUUCCUUAGUUCAUCGAAUGCAGAAUAAGCUGCUAAGGCUGUUCAAGAUGAGCUGUUCAGCAGAAUGUCCGCGAAUCCACAUCAGCCAACACCAACACCAGAACCAAAGUGCACUCUUCCUGGGCAGAUACCAUCAUUUUAUUGAGGCAACACAUAGAAAAGGAAAACCAUCCAGAAAAAUGCGACCCACUUACGUAUUGAGAGAUGACUACCGAUGGUGAAGCAUUAAAGACAUUGGCCAAAAAGUUUUUGUGCGUUCCCGCAUCUUCGUGUGAAUCGGAAAGGGUUUUCAGCAAAGCUAGCCAACUAAUCAGAGACCGUCGCAAAAAUGUAUAAAAAAUGUAUAUCAAAUGAAAAGAAAUAUUUGAAACUUUA